GAUGAAGAACGCAGUGAAAUGCGAUACUUGGUGUGAAUUGCAGAAUCCCGUGAACCAUCGAGUCUUUGAACGCAAGUUGCGCCUCAAGCCAUUAGGUUGAGGGCACGUCUGCCUGGGCGUCACAUAUCGUUGCCUGAUGCCAGUUUCCUCGUGAUGGGUGACUGUGCAGGGCGAAUGAUGGCUUCCCGUGAGCAUUGUUGCCUCAUGGUUGGUUGAAAAUUGAGUCCUUGGUAGGGAGCGCCGUGAUAGAUGGUGGUUGAGUGACGAACGAGACCCAAUCAUGUGAGACCCCUACCGAAUUUGGCCUUCAUGCCCCACAUGCGUCUUUGGAACGCUCAUGACGAGACCUCAGGUCAGGCGGGGCUACCCGCUGAGUUUAAGCAUAUCAAUAAGCGGAGGA
rnacentral:misc_RNA from 1 species